CCAGUGGUCAAAGCCUCCAACAAAGCUCUACUGAGUGGCUGUAACCUCUCAGAGAGAAGCUGUGAUGCUCUGUCCUCAGUUCUCAACUCCCAAUCCUCUAGUCUGAAAGAGCUGGACCUGAGUAACAAUGACCUGUGGGAUUCAGGGGUGAAGCUUCUGUCUGCUGCACUGCAGAGUCCACAUUGUACACUGGAAACUCUCAGGAGCAGGAGGCUGUGUGUAGCAUAGAGGAACCCAGACCUCAGCUUUGUCUCCUGGUUUCUGUUGCUGCUGUUACAGUUUCCCCUCAUCGUUCCUUCAACAGUCUCCUCACUGUAACAAAUCAAAGUGUUACUGUAUAGAUUCACGUCUGAAUGUUGCCAUGUGCUAUUAAAACUGAAAGCGAUGUUUCAUACACCCACGUGGUUCAGUCACACAGUAACUGAUGGUAAAUAAUGUUUGUGUUGAGCACAUCGUACAGGUCAGCUGCUCCACACAGAUCUCAGGUUUACAUGCUGGAACAGUUUGUGAUCAUGAAGGAUAAACCUCACUUCCUCUUUGUUUCAUACAGAUGUGACAUGAACAAUAACACGUUCAUGAAAUCCUUUUAGGAACACAAACACUAUUGUAGCUGGA